ACCAAUCAAUGCAGCGUUUCUGAGUGACGUCAGAAUUCCUUUUCCCGUUCUCACUGUUCUGCAAUGGCGGCGCGGUUGUUGCUCAGGAGUGCGGCUGUUAAAGCCGCUGUUACUGAUGUGCACGGUAGUAAUGCAGGAGUUUCGUUCCUCAGACUUUCCCCGAGCUGCUCGUUGAGGCUGAAGACACAAAAAAGACAUGCGGCACACUUCACCUUUUACCCUGACCCCGUCCCAACGCAAUACGGCCCCACCACAAAGAUGAACCUGUUCCAGUCCAUAACAAGUGCUUUGGAUAA